rnacentral:lncRNA from 1 species
UUUGUUCUAUUUAGUUAUUUCGGUUCGAUUCUAAUCUAGUUUUGGUUUAUUGUUGUUCUACUGAUAUUUCUUGAGCAUUUUAAUUUUUCAAUCCAAAGGCAUAAGAUGUAAUGCCUAAUUAUUUUCUUUACUUUCUUAAGCUUAUUCGGUAUGUACAAAUUAUCUUAUAUUCUUUCCAAAUAUUUUAAAAUACCAAAUUAGGAUUUCAAGUACAUACUAGGAUUUUUAUAUCGUCAGUAGGGCUCUACUAUGGCUUUUUUUGAAAGGCAUUGGAAGAUAUUUAAACUUUUGUUUGGUCACUUCCAUAUGGUCUUUAAUACCCUAGAGUUAUCCUUAAUUUCAUUUAAUUACAUUAUCAGAUCUCUAGCGAGUAAUCAAUAAUUAGGAUGUAAACGAUAUUAUUGUCUGAGUAGUCGUUAGUGUAUCUUAUUAUAGAAGAUCAACAAUUAAGCCACAUAAGGACAUUAUCCAACACUCUUAAAGCUUGUCAUCACUCUUGAAAGGUGGACGAAAUAUUCAGUACACGUCAGACAACUAGCAUAAAGUAGUUUCAUUCAAUAUGCACAGGGUGAACCUAAUCCCUACUAGAGAUAAACAAUUUAUGAGAGCUAAUCUUUGAUAGUGACUAUUUGGAGUAACUAGGUGAGGUUAUGUUGGUCUUAUGCUUUUUUAUCAAUAUGAUGAUUUGUUAUUCAAUUAUUAGGAGAUGAUUGUUUACUUGUUUGUGUGUUAUGUGCUAUAUAUGACUACUUGUUUACCUGUUAUUUGUAAUGUUUGCCCG